rnacentral:tRNA from 1 species
AGAGCUGUGGCUCAGUGGCAGAGCACUCACCUAUCACGUGCGAGGCCCUGGGCUUGAUCCUCAGUACCACAU